GUUUGACGCACUUUGAAUUAGGUUGAGUGUAAACUGCAUUGAAACUCCUCUGGGCUCCGUGUCCAGCAGCAUCCUUCUGCUCAAGAGGGAUCUAAGUGGCUCCGUGUGGUGUUUGAGGUCCUUUCCCAUGCUGAUUCAAUGCAUUCGGAAGACGUCAUCCCCACACACAGGCACGGAGUGCUGGAGGGCCACAGCCUCCCCAGCCCCUGGGGCUGCACAGGGCUCUCUCAGAGCCUCAUGUUGGGACGGUUUGGGGUUUCGUUUCUGCCCCCCAGUCCCUGUGCUGGGCUCGGCCCACCACAGUUGUGUUUCUUUAUUUCUGAUCCUGCUUCCCUCCCUCCUUGCCCUUGCUGCUGAGGUUAAUUAAAGGCCACGGGAGGCGGAUCUGUUUGCAUCUGAAGGAAGCAGCACCGCAGUGCUGUGAUACACAGAGAUGAGUGGUGAGGUUCCGGCCCGAUGGAGAUGUGCUGCUUCCGCUGAUAGGAAGGAGCUGGGUGAGCAGAGCCCUCCCGCAGGAGAGGGGCCAGCGUGGGCUGGGGAAGCCUCUGCGCUUGGGCAGAUAAAGCUGAACUGCAGCCACUCGUGCCCACACAGAGCUGUGUUUUUCCAGAGAUGUGCUGUCUCCACCCAGCACCCCCAGGAGAGCAGAGCGCUCCCUGUUCACCACAACCUUCUGCCUACACAGAGCUGUGGAGCCAUAGGAUGGUUGAAGUUGGAAGGGACCACAAAGAUCACCCAGUUCCAGCCCUGUGGCUCUGGGGAGCUGCAGGAGGGAAUCCUUAUGUUGGGAGAUGUUAUCAAGAUCCAUUGCUACAUGAUCCCAUCUUCUCCAACUCUUUGAGAGAGUAAGGCCCUCCUGUGCUCUCACACCAUUGGGAAAAUCCCAAAUCCUCUCCCAUCGCCUGUGUGGGCCCUUCCCAGCAACAAGGGUGCAGCCCAGGGUGCUGGGCCAGGGCUGCUGCUCUGUGAGGUAAGGACGGAGCUGGAGCCCGGGUGGUAGGAACUGUAAAUUUGGUUUGGCAACCUGAGGAGCAGUUCGUUUCUUUUUCUUCAGUGUAUGAAUGGCCUCUUCUGUGAAGGCUGCAACUCUGAGCCUGGCUGCUGUUUGAUGAGAUUCCUCUAUUCCGAGGAGAAAAUGAUCCUAUUUCCUUUGCUUUCCCCAUAUUCCCACACCCCUGUGCUGAGCGUGUUGAGAGGUGGGGUUCCGCUGGCAGGGACAGGGAAGAUGCAAUGUUAGAUGUUUUGCUUUUGUGAUUCUCUCAGGAUUUAUGAACCAUUACAACAUGACUCAUGCAGCCGCAUAUUUUCCAUGCCUCAACCAGGAUCCUUUCCAUGCUCUGUAUGCGAAAAAUUAGCCAUAAUCAGGUUCAGAUAGUGUGCAAAUCGCAGCCCUGCUUCCUAUGGCCAGGUCUCUGGAGUGGAGCAGGGAGAGGUUACUCACUGCUCUAUCCUUCAUUUUUCAGAUGCUGUGUGAUCUUUAGUGAUUGCUGUAGAUGCAGAACAGCUUGCUAGAAAAUUUUCAUGCCAGAGGAGCUCAGCUGCAAACCAGCAGGUGUGAGGAGAGAGCUCUUGGUGCAGGCUGAGCUCGUGUUCCUGCUGCAGAACGAGAGGCAGUGGCUCCGGGCAGAGCCACAGGAGCACGCAGCGUUUCCACUGCUGUCAGCACAACCUCACAUUUUCCGUGCAUGCAAUGCUGCUUUUCCCAGCCACUGGGUGUGCGAGCAUCGGAGCCUCCUCCAAAUCGCGGCACAGAAAACCUCCACGGAGCACUGAGCAAGAAACGCGGGUCCUCCCAGCCCAGGUUUGUCUCUGCUAAGCCCAGCACCUCCAAGAGGACACUUCUGUGUAAAAUGCACUGCGUCCUCCGUGAUGUCACCACCAUCAUUGAAAUCAAAUUAUUCGUGCCGUUUAUUCACCGGAGGAUUGAUCGUUAGCGGAACAGCAGUUUGUUUCCCUGCGAGCAGGCGCUGUGCUGCAUGGAAAGCGGAGUCGCCCUUUGUUAUGGCAACGGAAGCGUUGAGGAUGAUGUAAAGGAAACUCCUAUCAGAUCUGGGUCACAUCACUACAGCUCAGUCUGCACACUGCUCUCAUCCAUUUGUUGCGCAGAGCUCCCAGGGAAUGGUCCAACAUGUUAUUACCCAGGAAUUUGGGGAGAUUGAGGGGAAGGCGGGUGGGGGUUAUUUUCAUGGUUGUAGUUUUCCCUUCUUAACCUGGAGCAGAUGUGCUGAUAGAUUUUGGAGCUGGAAUCAGGCACUGCAGGGGCUGCCGUACGGAGCAUGCGAGCAGUGGGGCUGGGCCCGGACCUUGGUUUUGCACCACACCUCUCCCAGCAAAGGUGCUGCUAGGAAUGAAGCAACACACAGAGCUGUGCGCGAGCGGCUCCGCAGGAUGUUUUCUUUUGAAAUCUGUUUCGACACGGAGCAACUGUGCCACCUCACGGCCGCCUGUGCUCUCAGCUGCGCUCCAGCAGCGCUCCUGGCAGCACAGUGUGUGCGGAGCUGCAGGCGCUGCCUUCCCACGCGGGAUCUCCGGCUGCACUGCGUGUAGGAAACCUUUCCCUUUCGUGUUACGCAGUGCGCUCACUUAACCACGCUGAUAAGUUUAAAGAUUCGCUGCCUGCUGGAAGUGAGCUGGCACGCAGAUCAGUCCAGCUGCGUGCAGCUCCCUGUAACUGCUGGAGGGCAGACUCAUCCAGCCUUCCAACUGCGUUUUUCUACCGUUUAGAACUCGGUUUCAGGUGCAGGACAAUCAGUUCUGGGGGUUGUCAGAAGGUUUACAUCAAAUCUUAAGCCCACUUAAAACACCGAGACCUGCAGACUUUUAAAAUCAGUAUUUUAUUUGACUUGAAUGUGCAAAUAAAUAUAAAAAAAAAAAAACUACAUUCAAAGAGCUGGCAAAGCAAUGAUAAGCCCAAAAGCAAAGAUCCUUCAAAAAAAAAAAAAAAAAAAG